GUAAUGCGUAGGAAUCUACCUAGUAGUAUGGAAUAGCCAUUAGAAAUGAUGGGUAAUACUGUAUAAUCCCUGCGGGGGAAAGAUUUAUCGCUAUUAGAUGAGCCUACGUUAGAUUAGCUAGUUGGUUAGGUAAUGGCUUACCAAGGCUAUGAUCUAUAGCUGGUCUGAGAGGACGAUCAGCCACACUGGAACUGAGAUACGGUCCAGACUCCUACGGGAGGCAGCAGUGGGGAAUAUUGGACAAUGGGCGAAAGCCUGAUCCAGCUAUGCCGCGUGAGUGAAGAAGGCCUUCGGGUUGUAUAGCUCUUUCAAUAGGGAAGAUAA
rnacentral:rRNA from 1 species